rnacentral:rRNA from 1 species
GACAGAGGGUGCAAACGUUGUUCGGAAUUACUGGGCGUAAAGCGUGUGUAGGCGGCUCUGCAGGUCGGAUGUGAAAUCCCUCGGCUCAACCCCGGAACUGCAUCCGAUACUGCGUGGCUAGAGGUAGGUAGGGGAGAUCGGAAUUCCUGGUGUAGCGGUGAAAUGACGCAGAUAUCGGGAAGAACACCCGUGGCGAAGGCGGUUCUCUGGGACGGUACUGACGCUGAGACGCGAAAGCGUGGGGAGCGAACAGG